rnacentral:lncRNA from 1 species
CAGUCACAGUCAUAAAAUGACACACAUACACAGUCAACACACGCACAAACACAAUGGAGCGCUUGCACACAAGAAACAGACAAAGAAACACACACAAUCAGUCACACACACAAACAAUCAGUCACACAGAGUCACACAGACACAAUGGAGUGCUUGCACACAAGAAACAGACAUAGAUAGGAUGAAACUAAUCAAAGACAUGAGAAAAAGUAAAGUAUUUGUUCAAGCUUCCCGUUCAGAACCUUCAACUCUGCAUUAUUUUAGUUCUUCAAUUCCAAACCUCUCUCUGCAUUACCCAACUACAAGCCAGGAGGCCACUACUGUUAUAUAAACAAAGACAAGUGUAAGAGAGCCAGAGAGCAAAUUAGGAGGUACCUUUUUUUUAUCACCAAAUUUCAUAGUAUGCACGUACCAAAAUUGUAUUUUGUGUCGCAAGAUGAACCUAAAGAACUCACCAGGAAAAUACUCAAAUUAACAGAUCAAGUGAAUCAUGGAGAACAUUAUGUAGAAUAGUAGUCCAACAAAUCCAAAACAAUUCAAAUAUAUAUGCAGAUAAUCAGAGCUCAUGUACAUGCAAACCUUUCCCUCCCAUAAGGUGAUAAAUCUGCAAGCUGAAGAUCAAAAUUCGAUUACCUUAGUUGGUAAAACAGAAAGCGAUAGGAACCCUGAGCAGUCCUUGGCAUACUAUCAGCAUACUAUCAGAAUUAUCGGUCCUGGAAAGAGCAACAUACUAUCAGCAUGAAUACAUAAUCUUGUGAAGUGAACAAGGAAAACAUGGCUAAAUAAGCGUUUUGGGACUACAGGCAUUAGCAUCACAAAAUGUAGAAAACAUAAAUAUACCUGCGCUGUAAGCAAACCCUACCCAUCAGUGUCCUUAGCAAAACAAGCUGAAGAGCAAAUGUGACAUUUGUCUAUAUCCUACCUGAAAUACUUAGAAAAGCAUUAUUCCAGUGAA